rnacentral:rRNA from 1 species
GACAGAGGUCCCGAGCGUUGGGCGGAAUCACUGGGCUUAAAGCGCGUGUAGGCGGCCCGGUAAGUCCGCUGUGAAAGUCGGGGGCUCAACCCUGGAAUGCCGGUGGAUACUGUCGGGCUCGAAUCCGGAAGAGGUGAGUGGAAUUCCUGGUGUAGCGGUGAAAUGCGCAGAUAUCAGGAGGAACACCGGUGGCGAAGGCGGGUCUCUGGGCCGAUACUGACGCUGAGGAGCGAAAGCGUGGGGAGCGAACAGG